rnacentral:rRNA from 1 species
UACGAAGGGGGCUAGCGUUGCUCGGAAUCACUGGGCGUAAAGGGUGCGUAGGCGGGUUUUUAAGUCAGGGGUGAAAUCCUGGAGCUCAACUCCAGAACUGCCUUUGAUACUGAAGAUCUCGAGUCCGGGAGAGGUGAGUGGAACUGCGAGUGUAGAGGUGAAAUUCGUAGAUAUCGAGAGGAACACCGGUGGCGAAGGCGGCCAACUGGACGAAGACUGACGCUGAGACACGAAAGCGUGGGGAGCAAACAGG